UGUGUUAACCUGCUUGUGUUACAUUUCAAAUAGGAGUAAUUGAUCUUCAUAGUGAUCUAUGUUAGUAAGCAGCUAAGGCUGCACCUGGAAUUCUAGUUUCUGCUCAAAGGACUACACGAUACAUUUAAUGUUUAAGAAACUGAACAAUGUUUUGAGCUGAGAAACCUGGGAUUGUUUAUCCUGGAGAAGACUGAGAGGGGAUCUUAUCAAUGCUUAUAAAUAUCUAACAGGUACAAGCAAAGUAAGGUGUAUCAGCUGAAGAUAGAGCAGCAUGACAAAAUUUCUACGCAGGCUAUGGCCAGACUUGAAGAACUAGGGAAAAGCUAUCCGGGGGCAUAGCCUGGUAAGUUGUGGAAAAUGGGAUGUGAAGACGGAUUUUCUGGAUCCUGAUGCCUGCCUAGAAUCACUGCUGCUACCUCUAGGGCACAAUUCCAGGUACUGCCAUGAGAUAAAGCAAUUGAGAGCUGACUGAACUCUUGCUAUACCCACUCAGAACGCCCAGCUUUGCUCAGAUUAUUUUUCAACAGGCUGUACUCUAAUGGGUUUUUGUUUGGCUGAUUUGCAGAAGGGAAAAUAUAAAAAGACACGCUUAAAUUUAGUAAUACUAAUGUCAAUUGUGUGGUUACUAGAGAAAGCUCUCUCACAGAAAAUGUUCUUGUUUUAUGAAUCAUUUAGUACAUCAGAGGUAACAUAAUAAAAAUAGAUUGCUGCCAUGUGAUCAGUGUCUCCAGCUUUGAAAAUUGAAUAGGUUUAAAAAUGUUAUUUUUUGAAGAUUGCAUUCUGCCAGCAGCAGGAUCUCUUAUGCUGUGAUACAUUUGUAACUCCCCUUGUUAAUUUCCCUGCAGCAUCCUGUAGCCUCGCUGACAUCUGUAAGCAGGUAUCAAGUGUGCCAGUGCAGUCUCUCCAUAUGGUAGGGUAACUCAGAUAUACUUGGUUUUUGCAAGUUUUUAGAUGCUUUCACUCUUUGUCUUCCCAUGUUAAAGUGAUAUUUUUACUUUUUAAAAUAUUUUCAUUGUCAGCUCUUGUAUACCUGUCUGUGCUUUCUUACUGUUGUCAGAAAAGGAACGUGUAAAACUGGGUGCCCCAGCAGAUGAAAAAACCCUAACAGCAUUUCCCUGCAUAGGAGAAAGAAAUUGCGAAGAUUUGCUAAAAGUGAGGGAGAACACUGAGAAAAUCUGAAGUUGAGGGAAAGAAGGAAAUGCAGUAGCAGCUCUGCAAAAAUGGACUGAAGAGUGCUAGAGUGCUCCAGCUUGUCUGCUAAAGGUUUUUCGCAGUAAACUUUGAUGAACCAACUCUGCCUGACUUGUCUUGCUUUGAUUCUGUUAUAAAAAUUGUUUGUGAAGAUUUUCAUUUGGCUCAAUGUAUAGGAGUCUGGGCUCUUGUAGUGGAAAAAUCUGAGUUCCCUUUUGCUGGGGAGUAUUAGAGCUUGCAGAGGCAUUCAUAGUGCAGGCAUGUUCUAGUAAGAGUGCACUGUCCCGCUUUGUAGCUUCAGAGAGCUGAAAAGAUGAGGAAGUAUGGGAACUGAGUUUUGGCAGCAUGGUUUUACUUGCAUUUUAAUUCAUGUUUUCUUGAUUGUUUCACAUCCCUGAUUUAGUUCUCCUUUUAGAUUUUUGCAAUGGGAUUAUGGUUUCUUGAUGGAUUCCCUGUGUGACAAGAGCUCCUGUUGCUUGCUUUUCAAAGAAAGAAUAGAAACUUGCUUCUAUGUGUCCUCAGAAUUGCUGGAGGUGGUACUACUUUGACCCCAAUUAAAUUGCUCAUCCCAAAUCAAUUUGCCACCACACAGACAAUAUUAGAUUACUAGAAUCUGAACCUACAGACUCAAGCCUCUCAGCAUUGGCUAAACAGUUGCCUUAUAAUGUAGAGAUUACGCUAAAACAAAAGGAACCAUAUUACUGUAAUUUCUUUCCAUCUUUCUUUUUUGCUUUCACUAGGUUAUUAUAUUUAUAACAUCAUGUUUGCACUGCUGCAGUAAGAAGUGAAUUGAGAGUGAGAUCUACUUCCUAUCCUUACAGAAAAAUUUUAUGGGUAUAGACAAGGGAACUGUUCUCCAAACACCAUUAAAAAGUUUUUACUUAAGGUCUAUAUAUACUCAGGGUAAUUUAAGAGCUGGCUUUGCUUCGCACAUAAACUAGUUUGGACUUUGGAACAAUACCUGUCUUUUUGUUUUCACUUUUUUCCUUUUUGAGCCAUUUUAUCCCUAAAGCUUAAAAAUUUCCUGAAGCUGGUUACAAAAAAUCUGAAAUAAUGAAAUAUGAUUUACAUAUUUGAUGGGUGAAGAGGAAAUAGGAGACAUCAUAGAGAUCUUAUGGUUUAUUUAUGACUACAGGUAAAUAACUGCAUGUUUCUAUAAUGGAUUUACUCUGUUUUUACUCUGAAAUGUACCAUCCAUGCACAUUGAAUGCCUUUUGUUUCAGAUCCGUGUGUUGUCUUUUAGCAGUGAAAAUGCUUAAUGCAGUACUGUAGUUGUCAUCUCCCUGCUGUGGUCUCCAAGACAAUUCAGCUGAGCUUUUGUUUCAUUCUCUUUUGAAAAGCAAAUUAGUAAGGAUUGUUUGUAGUAUAUUGUACUUUAGAAUAUCAGGAGAAAAUUGCUAAGGAUGUUGCUUGGGAACCCAGAUUCUGGAACGGACCACAGCAGAAUUUGCUGCAUAUGUUUGUAUUAGCCUGGAGUGCAAGAAACUGACUGACAUGGCGCUGUCUACAACUUCAGCUUGUAUAAGCAGCAACAGGUUGUGUUUAGUCUAUCAACUGUCAUGAUUAAAAGCUAGGAUAGGGACUUUCCAUGCUGAGAUGACACAUGUCCAUGGAGAUUUCCAGCACUCUUCUCAAAGGAGAUGUAACUUUUCUGAGCCUUUAAGUCAAAGCCCUUUGUUUGCUUUUAUGUGUGUUUUGCGUUACAGCCUGCACAGACCAGUCCUUGGAUCUCCUUACUGUAGAUGCCGUAUGUUUUUUGGGUAGACAUUAUCAGUCAAUGGAAAGAGAGAAAGCUGCUGAAUGGGCUGGGUUGAUGCUAGAUUUUCUUCUCUGUGAUAUGAAAAAUUGCUUCUGUAGGCAUACACUUCCACAAGAUGUUUAGAGAGAAAUAGUAAAUCACAAAUUUGGGAAUACAAAUUGUCACAGAGUGUAACCUGAAGAAAGGGUUUAAAGUGUUUCUUAUCAAAGGAGGCAGAUUUCCACUGGAUUAUGCUUACAAGAGAUGAGUGGACUGCAGAACUGCUUUUUAAUACAGUUCCUUGAAGGAAGUGAUUUAUGGAUGUACCUGCAGAGACGACAGUAAAACAGAAAGAAAUAGACAGGAUGAGAAAGCAGACCAUUUCAGAAGUGUUUGGUACUCAUACAGAGGCCAGUACAGCUAGUAACAAAAAGAAAAUGGGGCAGCUAUGAAAAGGGUAGGAACCAAAGAGGAAGGGAGUUGGAUUAAAAAAGUCUAACAAAGGAAAGCAGAGAUGUGUUCUCAGGAGGGGCAUGGCAGGACAUUAACAGUGAUGGGGUGGAGGGCUGGAGAACAAUGCAGCCCUAUUGUGUUUGGUGUCUGGGAAUCAUCUGUAUUGUCUGUUCUUAAUUUUUGGUGAGUUGCUUUUAGAAAGGACUUCAUAAUUGUCUCAGCGCAUUUUGCACAGCUAGAGUAUUUUCAACCUCUGCCUAUCCCUCUAGUCCCAUCUCUUUUUUUUUUUUUUUUUCCCCAUGAAUCAGCCUUCUGUGAUGAUCUUUGAGUUUGCACGACAGUCCUAGCCUCUAAGUGAUAAAUGCCCCCAGGCCAUGGAAUAUAAAGUAAUGAGUCGUCAACUGGGUCUUAAACUGAAUUCUUUAACACCAAGUGAAAGUAAAGCAUCCCAAGUUCUGAACUGCCAGUUGCUGCUAGCACUGCUUCUACAUACUGCUGGAAAGGAUCUAGCCAGUGGACAUGCCUUGUUUCAAGCUUGUCUGAUUUGCUUUACAGAUGCUUGGAAGAAAUAAUGACUUAGAAUAAUAAACCAAAAAAUAAAGUGGUAAAUACUGAAUGUGUGUCAGCAGUGUUCACUGACAGCCAAAAAGACCAACCAUACCUGGUGUGCCCCAGGCCUAGCACUGGCAGCCAGGAGUGGGAAGGAAUUGUCUGACACCGGUCUGCACUGUGCAGUCUCACCUCGAGCAGUGGGUGCAGUUUGGGUGCCACAAUCUAAAAGGAACAUAAAACAUGAGUAUCCAAAGGAGAUCUACCAGGAUGUUAAAGGGUUUGGAGGACAAGGUGCAUGAGGAGCAGCUAAGGUCUCUUAGUUGUUUGGCCCAGAGCAGAGGAGCUAGUGGAGGCUCAUGGAAUCUGCAGCUCCUCAUGGGAGUGGAGGGCAGCGCUGAGCUCUGCUCUCUGUGACAGCAACAGGACCCUUGGGCAAGGCAUGGAGAUGUGUCAGGGGAGGGGCAGCUGGAGGUUACAGAAAGGUUCUGCAUCAGGGUGGUGGGCAUGGAACAGGCUGCCUAGAGCAGUGGUCGUGGCCUCGAGCUGCCAGAGUUCAAUAAGUCUUUUAACAGCACUAUUAGACAUAGGUUUUGAAUCUUGAGUGGUCUUAUGAGGAGCCAGGAGUUGGAAUUGACGAUUCUUGUGGGUCCCUUCCAACUCAGGAUAUUCUAUUUUUUUGAUACUUACAGAUCAGCAACAUGGAUAUUCUAUUGGCAAUACCUAUUCAGCUGCCAGGUUACCUAGUGUUGGUGAGCUUUACUGCAGAUGUUUGAGUAGAUUUGAGUGGGCUGCAGGAUGUGAGGGGCCAGGCUGAAGCUGUAGGCAAAGGGUAGGAUGAUUUAGGCUAUUCUGUAUUGCAUUGUAAAAGCUUCGCAUGACUUACUGCUUUGCUUUGCAUGACUGUUUCUUUCCCAUUAUAUGUGACACUUAUUGCAGAGGAGGAGAGAGUUUUUUAGCCUACGCUGACACAGAGAAAUGAAAUGGAUAUUUGCUCUCAGCUAUCUAAUCUGAAUAGCAUUUCAAAUGCGACUGUGACAAUCUAAGUGAAAAGAAAGCAAAGAUAUACCUGAUUCUUAAGUCUCUUGAGGCAACAUAGUUUAAACAGCUGUUGUGACCUAUACGCUCAGUUUGUACCCAGCAGGUACAGCCUGAAGUCACUGCAUACAGAGGCAGGGAUACGCACGGAAACUACAUAAAUUUGAAGGCUAUAAGCCAGACUUUGUAGCAGGAAUCCACACUUUUAGAUUUGAGUUCAUUUUUUACUGAAAUAUUUUUUGUUACUGAAGAUUUUCUUUUCAUGGCCUCUGCUUGACUGUGCUUAGAAAUUAACCUGUUGGGAUUGUUUCUCUUCUAUAACAUUUAUAUAGUUUCUAUACAAUAGCAUCCUUAUAUCGUGUCAAGGAUUCAGGAUUCAUAUAAACUGCCUUGGUUUUACUUGUUCAUAGCUUUCCAUCAAGUGAUUCCACUGACAUCCAGUUAAACCUUAGCAAAAAAAUCAUGGUGAGAAGCUGUGCUAUCUUUGCACAGCUGGUACUGAUGACAAAGGUUUUUUGGCAACAUAGGAAUAAUCAACUUCUAAAUGCUGCAUCCUGUUUUAGCAACUGUAAAAUGGAGGGGGAGGAGAGGAAUUGUAUUUGAGUACUUAAAAGUAUACCAGACUCAACAAAGUAGUGAUGUUCGUGCUGCAGAGAAAAACAGUGUUGCUUGCUUGCACUUUCAUCUUGUUUCCUGUUUGGUGUUGUGAUUUGGUCUUGGAUUAUGGAUUUUUUUCUUGUAUUUUUUUUUGUUUUGUUUGUUUUUCUCUUUGUUUUUUGCAGCAACGUUAUAAUUUUGACCCAUGGCUAUAUAUUACUUAGGAAAACAGAAGCCUGGUUCCUAGUUGCUACUUCAAUAUUGAUGAAGCAUGAAUGGAAAGAAAUAGAAAAACAAAAAUUGAAGUCUGAAGGAGUUUCUGGAAUACAAUGUCUGGAAAUAAUGUCAUUUUUGAAGUUUUUGAUUUUCUAGAUUUUAUUGAAUCUCUUCACUGUCUUUUAGAAAUUCUUAUGACAAAAAAAAUGUGUUAAAUGUUCUCUGAGAUAGCAAGAAUCCUAUUUUACUUUUUGGUAUUCAGUAUAUUUGUGGUUACAUCUUGGAUUGAUAGGAGAUGCAAGUGCUGAAGGUGUCUGUAAAAUAAUGUGUUAAAACAUUAAAAACAAGAGAACUUUUGCUUCCAAAAUAUUUCAGAAGUUCUUUUAACAAAAUGUUUGCAGAGCAUGCUCAUAUCAUUUAUUUCAUGUAAAAACUUAGUAAACUGAUAAAUAAGUGAGAUGUAGAAAUGCUCAUGAGUUCUAAACGAAAGUCUGUUCGUUUUCAUAAUAAUGCAGUGAGCUGAUGCCAAAGUAGCUGAUAAUUCAGAGAUCUCUUAAAAUAUUCAAACUUUUUUCUGAAGAACAUUAGUUGUGUUCAUUUUUUGGAAGUACACUUGAAAUGGCUGCACUUAAUGAAUCACCAAAGUGCAUCUCUACUCUUAGUUCAUCGCUUUAGCUCCUAUCAUGAGCCACAGCAAUGCAAGCAUUGCACUAGGGGACUUUCUUGUUACUUUGUAGUUCCAGAAGUAUGAAUAUAUUUCAGUGAACUUGAAGCCAAAUUUGAUCAAUUUUUCUAGAUUGUUCUUCUGGAAUAACAAAUGUACUACAUGGUUGCUUUUUCUUUUCUGUUGUGGUUUUGGUGUUAUUUUGUUUGUUUUGUUUGUUUGUUUGUUUUUUGGUUUUGUUUUGUUCUU